rnacentral:rRNA from 1 species
UACGUAGGGUGCAAGCGUUAAUCGGAAUUACUGGGCGUAAAGCGUGCGCAGGCGGUUUUGUAAGUCAGAUGUGAAAUCCCCGGGCUUAACCUGGGAACUGCGUUUGAAACUACAAGGCUAGAGUGUGACAGAGGGGGGUGGAAUUCCGACGUGUAGCAGUGAAAUGCGUAGAGAUGUGGAGGAACACCGAUGGCGAAGGCAGCCCCCCUGGGUUAACACUGACGCUCAGGCACGAAAGCGUGGGGAGCAAACAGG